CCUGGUUGAUCCUGCCAGUAAUCAUAUGCUUGUCUCAAAGAUUAAGCCAUGCAUGUCUAAGUACAUGCCGAAAUAAGGCGAAACCGCGAAUGGCUCAUUAAAUCAGUUAUGGUUCCUUAGAUCGUUUCUUCCUACUUGGAUAACUGUGGCAAUUCUAGAGCUAAUACAUGCAGUGAGCCUGGAGCCCUUUGGGUAACGGGUGCUUUUAUUAGACCAAGAUCGAUCGGGUUUCGGCCCGUAUUGUGUGGUGACUCUGGAUAACUUUGUGCUGAUCGCAUGGCCACGAGCCGGCGACGUUUCUUUCAAGUGUCUGCCUUAUCAACUUUCGAUGGUAGGUUACUUGCUUACCAUGGUUGUUACGGGUAACGGAGAAUCAGGGUUCGAUUCCGGAGAGGGAGCCUGAGAAACGGCUACCACAUCCAAGGAAGGCAGCAGGCGCGCAAAUUACCCACUCCCGGCACGGGGAGGUAGUGACGAAAAAUAACAAUACGGGACUCUUUUGAGGCCCCGUAAUUGAAAUGAGUACACUCUAAAUCCUUUAACGAGGAUCAAUUGGAGGGCAAGUCUGGUGCCAGCAGCCGCGGUAAUUCCAGCUCCAAUAGCGUAUACUAAAGCUGCUGCGGUUAAAAAGCUCGUAGUUGGAUCUCAGUUCCAGACGAGUAGUGCAUCUACCCGAUGCGACGGCUCGGACUGAACAUCAUGCCGGUUCUUUCUUGGUGCACUUCAUUGUGUGCCUCGAGAUGGCCGGUGCUUUUACUUUGAAAAAAUUAGAGUGCUCAACGCAGGCGAGUCGCCUGAAUAAACUUGCAUGCAUGGAAUAAUAGAACAAGACCUCGUUUCUGUUCUGUUGGUUUUUGGAAUACGAGGUAAUGAUUAAGAGGGACGGACGGGGGCAUUCGUAUUGCGGCGCUAGAGGUGAAAUUCUUGGACCGUCGCAAGACGAACUACUGCGAAAGCAUUUGCCAAGAAUGUUUUCAUUGAUCAAGAACGAAAGUCAGAGGUUCGAAGGCGAUCAGAUACCGCCCUAGUUCUGACCAUAAACGAUGCCAACCAGCGAUCCGCCUGAGUUACUCAAAUGACUCGGCGGGCAGCUUCCGGGAAACCAAAGUAUUUGGGUUCCGGGGGAAGUAUGGUUGCAAAGCUGAAACUUAAAGGAAUUGACGGAAGGGCACCACCAGGAGUGGAGCCUGCGGCUUAAUUUGACUCAACACGGGAAAACUUACCCGGCCCGGACACUGGGAGGAUUGACAGAUUGAGAGCUCUUUCUUGAUUCGGUGGAUGGUGGUGCAUGGCCGUUCUUAGUUGGUGGAGCGAUUUGUCUGGUUAAUUCCGAUAACGAACGAGACUCUAGCCUAUUAAAUAGGUGCGGGGUUCCCAGCACCUUACAACCUUCUUAGAGGGACAAGCGGCUCCUAGCCGCACGAAACAGAGCAAUAACAGGUCUGUGAUGCCCUUAGAUGUCCGGGGCCGCACGCGCGCUACACUGAAGGAAGCAGCGUGUCUUUAUCCCUGUCUGAAAAGACUGGGUAACCCGUGGAACUUCUUUCGUGAUUGGGAUAGGGGCUUGCAAUUGUUCCCCUUGAACGAGGAAUUCCCAGUAAGCGCGAGUCAUAAGCUCGCGUUGAUUACGUCCCUGCCCUUUGUACACACCGCCCGUCGCUACUACCGAUUGAAUGAUUUAGUGAGGUCUUCGGACCGAUGUCCGGCGCGGCCUUUCGGUUGCGCCGGUCUGUUGGAAAGAUGACCAAACUUGAUCAUUUAGAGGAAGUAAAAGUCGUAACAAGGUUUCCGUAGGUGAACCACAACCUG
rnacentral:rRNA from 1 species